rnacentral:tRNA from 1 species
GGAAUAUAGCUCAAUUGGUAGAGUAUCUGCCUCGCAUACACAAGGCCCUAGGUUCAAUCCCCAGUACCA